AGCCUUCUCCUUGGGCCUUCAAUUAAUAAAUUUAUAUAAAUAAACAUAUAAAUAUUGGGCUAAAUAUUGGGUGGGUUAUUUUAUUUCUUGGGUUAUUUAGAAUUUCUUUUUUUUUAGUAUUAAUUCCAAUUAAUUGAUUGCCAUGAUUACAUGGCAAUUCAGAAUUAGUUUUGGCGGCUAGAGGCCAGAGUAGGUGCCUGAAACCUAGAAAUUCUUACCGAAUGAAUAUCCUUUUGCCAUUACUUUUCGGGGCGAGGCGGGGCUCCGCCCCCCCAAUGGACUAGGUCCUUAGAGGGCAGAGCGGGUAAGUGCUUAAGUGGCACCAUCUGCUAAGACGUCUAAAUGCUUUCCUUGAUAACCGGAAGUUCUGAAAAAGUGUGAAAUGCCGGAGGCUUUUGACCAUCCAUUCAAGUGUCGUUGAAUUCUGUUCAACAGCCCAAGGACUUGGAGCACACUUGUUUUCACUGGUUAGAGUAAAAUAAACCACUACAAAGAAACAAAAAAUUCCUAUUACAGAAACAUACGAGCCGAAACUACUGAAGGCAUUCCAUCCAGCGUAAGCAUCUGGAUAAUCUGGAAUGCGACGUGGCAUACCUGCAAGACCUAAAAAAUGCAUAGGAAAAAAAGUCAAGUUCACACCAAAGAAAGUGAUCCAAAAAUGAAUUUGACCUAAAGUCUCUGGAUAUUGAAGACCAGUUAUUUUACCUAUCCAAUAGUAGAAUCCUGCAAAUAAAGCAAAAACAGCUCCCAUAGAAAGAACAUAAUGAAAAUGUGCAACCACAUAAUAAGUAUCAUGUAGAGCGAUGUCCAGCCCAGAAUUGGCCAAUACUAUUCCAGUAAGAGUAGAGUAGGUGCCCUUACUCGCGUGGGGCCACUUCUGGGUUUCCUUUGCGCUUUUAGUGCACCUCUCUCGUAACCGUACAUGAUAGUUUUCCCAUCAUACGGCUUGCACGCGCGUUUAAUUCUUUUACGACUUGGCACGGGUUUCAUAGUCUGUAGCGACGUGUCGAACGAGGCUGCGGUGCCUCUCCGGUUUCCUUCUUUUCCUUUUGUUUUUUUUUCGACCAGGGAGAGAGAGCCCGAAGAAGUAUUUUCCGUGGUCGGCUCUCUCGUGCUCGAGCUUGCAAAGGGAUAUUCGCUUUCUGUUGAACAUGGUCAUCAUCUCGUUUAUCUGUGAGAUGUUCUUGUCGAGUUGGCUCAACUUGCGCAUGUGGUUAAUCUUUACUGGUCCGGAUUUGUUGACUAGGCAUUUGGUAUCUCCAGUAUAGAUCUGCCACGUAGCUUUUUAAAAAGAGGCAUAGCGGGACCGUGGGCCAAAUGAAUGCAAGGGUCAAAACCUUGAUAAGGGCACCGGUUUGUAAAUCACUUAUAUAUACUAUUGUCUCAAUUGCUUCUAGAAUGAUCUUUUCUCUAGAAGGCCACUGUAGUAAGCGGCGGGCGUUCGCCUCCUUCGAAGCGCCUCAUACCUUGUUGAAAUUGGAAGCGUUCCGAGCGAAGUUGUUUAUUUUUCUUCUGCUGACGUCUACUAUUUUCCCGUCAAGGGCCGGCCCGGCGUACUUCGCCCCGGGAUGGAUUAAAACAUUCGUAUGCCAACUCGAUCAGGUCUUCUUGAAAUAGAAAUCUGCAAAGGUUAAGGUUGUUGUUAAGGUUGCCUUUGUCGUUGUUAAGAAUGGAAUGCAGUUCUUUCGCUACCAGGUCAUUUAUCCGCCUGACUAGUGAAGUCCUCGCACGCCUGUGCGCCUGGCCCGCGUAGCAAGGGUAUAGCAAAAAGAUUUUUUUGAACCUCAUUUGUCGAGGGCUUCCUCAGCAAAGUGAAGUGGUGGGUCACCUGCUGUCCCGUGCUUGACAGAAAUGGCGUCAUCCGGUUAGGUGUUGGGAUUGGGAACCUCAAGUCCUUCAUAGCGGGCGAGGCUUACUUGAGCCUUGAAUUGCUUGCACCCUACUGCUAUCUGGCCAUGCACGAGGUUUUCGAGAGAGUUGACGCGUUGACCCGGUAGGGGGUCCACCGGGUUCGCCUCCCGUUAGUGCAAAUUACCUCGUUGCUUUUGGUCCCUUCCGUUGCCUUUUUAGGGUACCACCUUUCGGAAGCCCCCAAAGGAGGGGUUUUUUCACCCUACUCAUCUUUGCUUCUGGGGUCUCCCCUACACGUCAACUGGGGAGAGAAUACGUCCGUCUGUCGCCAUUCUUGGGGUUAUGGCGAAGUAAACGUCAUCCAUUCCGGUUAGCACGUCGCACCCCCCUACAGUAAACAAGAAAAUAAAUCCUACAGCAAAUAACAUGGGUGUUUUGUAUUGUAUUGAACCUCCCCACAUGGUAGCAAUCCAACUAAAAAUUUUUAUUCCAGUAGGCACGGCAAUAAUCAUGGUAGCCGCAGUGAAGUAAGCACGUGUAUCAACAUCUAAGCCUACAGUAAACAUGUGGUGCGCCCACACAAUAAAUCCAAGAACUCCAAUACUGAUCAAGGCAUAAACCAUGCCUAGAUAACCAAAUACGGGUUUUCUUGAAAAGGUAGAAACGAUAUGACUAAUGAUACCGAAUCCUGGCGAAAUUAGAAUAUAGACCUCAGGAUCGGGAUAGAUUUUGCCGUUCCCAGUAAAGCCCCCCACAGAACCCAGCGAGCUCCUCUCAAAGCACUGGGCUCUUCGCGGAAUAUGCCUAUAACCUAUGUAGUCUAUCCUCAAGCAUGUUCUGUAACAAGACACCAAGAGUGCACAAGGGAUUUGUGCAACAAAUUAUCAUUACCGGGCACUUCCGGGUUCUUAUAAAAAGGCCGCAGGUUGUGAAUCUCUAAAUUAGAGCUAGUUAAAUAACCUAAGCCUUGAUUGCAUACGGGACAUAUACCCUUCUGGCGGAUGAAUAGCCUGCUAAAUUCGUUACCUUUUCCGUCCACAAGAAUUUCCCGGGACUGAGAAUAAUUCUAUCAGAUAGGGGUCAGUCUAUGCUGCCCUCCGAACCAUACAUGACAAUUUUUGGUCAUACAGCUCUCACUCGGAAAACUUCAAUUGCUGAGAUUCUUGUAUCAGGUGCGUCUCUAAGGAUGUGUUACAUAAUAGAGGCCUGGGGCCGAUAGUAUGAUAUUAUCUGCAUUUCCUAGCUCCUUUGCAUGAUACGCUUCGUGGUGAGCUUUACAUAAUGGAAUCUGCUUUCGUUUAUAUGCUCUGGACAACCGGGUAACCUUAGUUUCUGAUUCAAAUUUUUACUUAAACGUCUAAAACAGUCCUUACAUCAUCUAUUUCGAUAUUCCUAUCACCGCAGAUGGCACAAACCCGGCCUAACCCAGACUCGUAAAAUUUUUCGGCCCACUGAACCUGCAUAACCUAAUCCGGAGUAGCUGUUUACCUUGUAAUUAUGUAGAAACCUUAUAUAUAGUUAUUCGGAAUCGUCAGGCUACUCUACUCUAAGUAUUCAGGCAUUGAAGCUUAGCUCCAAUUUUAUUGAACCCAGUUCGGAACUUCGAUUUUAACCUUAGAUGAGUGAACUAAGAACCAUAUCACUUUUUGCAGAUUUCUUUUAUUAAGCACACCACAAUAAUUAAGCAGUCCUAUGGGCCAGGAUGGAUAUCUGGAUGUGAUAGUCUUAUCUUUUAAUACCUUUGGUGCAGAUUCAUUUAUGAUGCGGCUUUUGCGUAUACGUAUCUGCGAGUUUGAAAAACCAGUUCCCAUGCAAUCUAUAAGGGGUUGGGCCAUCUGAAUCUUUUUCCGCAGAGCCAAGAAAGCCGGUUUUACGAGUAAUGUCCCCAGGUUUACCUUGGAUACUUUCAUAGCAGUAAACCAGAAAUUUAGGAUCCGAUAGAAUUAUUCUCAGUCCAUUAUAGCGUCCCUGGUUAUUUUUACAAUUGUUUACCAUUUUCUUAGCAUAUGUACGGGCGUUGCUUUGUUAAGCAUUCUUCUGAUUUCUUUGAAGCGAGAGUAACUUUUUUUGCCCAAAACAGAUGAAAAAGAACUAUGGAUCGUUUUCUGACUAGUCACCUUUGUGUUCNNNN
rnacentral:lncRNA from 1 species